UACCCUGCAGAAGAAAGCGACCGGCCUAAACUACGUGCCAGCAGCCGCGGUAAUACGUAGGGUGCGAGCGUUGUCCGGAAUUAUUGGGCGUAAAGAGCUCGUAGGCGGUUUGUCGCGUCUGCUGUGAAAACCGGAGGCUCAACCUCCAGCCUGCAGUGGGUACGGGCAGACUAGAGUGCGGUAGGGGAGAAUGGAAUUCCUGGUGUAGCGGUGGAAUGCGCAGAUAUCAGGAGGAACACCGAUGGCGAAGGCAGUUCUCUGGGCCGUAACUGACGCUGAGGAGCGAAAGCGUGGGGAGCGAACAGGAUUAGAUACCCUGGUAGUCCACGCCGUAAACGUUGGGCGCUAGGUGUGGGCGAACAUUCCACGGUGUCCGUGUCGUAGCUAACGCA
rnacentral:rRNA from 1 species